UGGGGAAUAUUGGACAAUGGGCGCAAGCCUGAUCCAGCCAUGCCGCGUGCAGGAUGAAGGCCUUCGGGUUGUAAACUGCUUUUGUACGGAACGAAAAGGUGCCUUCUAAUAAAGGGCGCUCAUGACGGUACCGUAAGAAUAAGCACCGGCUAACUACGUGCCAGCAGCCGCGGUAAUACGUAGGGUGCGAGCGUUAAUCGGAAUUACUGGGCGUAAAGCGUGCGCAGGCGGUUUUGUAAGACAGAGGUGAAAUCCCCGGGCUCAACCUGGGAACUGCCUUUGUGACUGCAAGGCUGGAGUGCGGCAGAGGGGGAUGGAAUUCCGCGUGUAGCAGUGAAAUGCGUAGAUAUGCGGAGGAACACCGAUGGCGAAGGCAAUCCCCUGGGCCUGCACUGACGCUCAUGCACGAAAGCGUGGGGAGCAAACA
rnacentral:rRNA from 1 species